GUAGGUGGCAAGCGUUGUCCGGGAAUUAUUGGGGCGUAAAGCGCGCGCAGGCGGUUCUUUAAGGGUCUGAUGUGAAAGCCCACGGGCUCAACCGUGGAGGGUCAUUGGAAACUGGAGAACUUGAGUACAGAAGAGGAAAGCGGAAUUCCACGUGUAGCGGUGAAAUGCGUAGAGAUGUGGAGGAACACCAGUGGCGAAGGCGGCUUUCUGGUCUGUAACUGACGCUGAGGCGCGAAAGCGUGGGGAGCAAACAGGAUUAGAUACCCUGGUAGUCCACGCCGUAAACGAUGAGUGCUAAGUGUUAGGGGGUUUCCGCCCCUUAGUGCUGCAGCUAACGCAUUAAGCACUCCGCCUGGGGAGUACGGCCGCAAAGGCUG
rnacentral:rRNA from 1 species